CGGGAAUUCGAUUAGAGUUUGAUCAUGGCUCAGAACGUACGCUGGCGGCACGCCUAACACAUGCAAGUCGAACGCAGUAGCAAUACUGAGUGGCAAACGGGUGAGUAUAAUGUGGGAAUCUGCCUUUUGGUUUGGAAUAACACGGGGAAACUUGUGCUAAUACCGAAUAAGCCCUUACGGGGAAAGUUUUAACGCCGAAAGAUGAGCCCGCACUUGAUUAGCUAGUUGGUAAGGUAAAAGCUUACCAAGGCAACGAUCAAUAGCUGUUCUUAGAGGAAGACCAGCCACAUUGGGACUGAGACACGGCCCAGACUCCUACGGGAGGCAGCAGUGGGGAAUCUUGCACAAUGGAGGAAACUCUGAUGCAGCGAUGCCGCGUGAGUGAAGAAGGCCUUUGGGUUGUAAAGCUCUUUCGUCGGGGAAGAAAAUGACUGUACCCGAAUAAGAAGGUCCGGCUAACUUCGUGCCAGCAGCCGCGGUAAUACGAAGGGACCUAGCGUAGUUCGGAAUUACUGGGCUUAAAGAGUUCGUAGGUGGUUGAAAAAGUUGGUGGUGAAAUCCCAGAGCUUAACUCUGGAACUGCCAUCAAAACUUUUCAGCUAGAGUUUGAUAGAGGAAAGCAGAAUUUCUAGUGUAGAGGUGAAAUUCGUAGAUAUUAGAAAGAAUACCAAUUGCGAAGGCAGCUUUCUGGAUCAUUACUGACACUGAGGAACGAAAGCAUGGGUAGCGAAGAGGAUUAGAUACCCUCGUAGUCCAUGCCGUAAACGAUGUGUGUUAGACGUUGGAAAUUUAUUUUCAGUGUCGCAGCGAAAGCGAUAAACACACCGCCUGGGGAGUACGACCGCAAGGUUAAAACUCAAAUGAAUUGACGGGGACCCGCACAAGUAGUGGAGCAUGUGGUUUAAUUCGAAGAUACGCGCAGAACCUUACCAACACUUGACAUGUUCGUCGCGACUUUAAGAGAUUAAAGUUUUCGGUUCGGCCGGACGAAACACAGGUGCUGCAUGGCUGUCGUCAGCUCGUGUCGUGAGAUGUUGGGUUAAGUCCCGCAACGAGCGCAACCCUCACUUUUAGUUGCCAUCAUUAAGUUGGGCACUCUGAAAGAACUGCCAGUGAUAAGCUGGAGGAAGGUGGGGAUGACGUCAAGUCCUCAUGGCCCUUACGUGUUGGGCUACACACGUGCUACAAUGGUAUCUACAACAGGAAGCGAAACAGCGAUGUUAAGCAAAUCCUUAAAAGAUACCUCAGUUCGGAUUGCACUCUGCAACUCGAGUGCAUGAAGCUGGAAUUACUAGUAAUCGUGGAUCAGCGUGCCACGGUGAAUGCGUUCCC
rnacentral:rRNA from 1 species